GACGAACGCUGGCGGCGUGCUUAACACAUGCAAGUCGAGCGGAGCGGCGAACGGGUGAGUAACGCGUGAGUAACUUCCCCCCUCUCUGGGAUCACAGUUGGAAACGGCUGCUAAUUCCGGUAAGUGGAGGAUGACUCGCGUCCUAUUAGCUUGUUGGUGGGGUAGUGGCCUACCAAGGCGACGACGGGUAGCCGGCCUGAGAGGGCGACCGGCCAAAUUGGGCUGAGAUACGGCCCAAACUCCUACGGGAGGCAGCAGUGGGGAAUAUUGCACAAUGGGGGAAAGCCUGAUGCAGCAACGCCGCGUGGGGGAUGACGGCCUUCGGGUUGUAAACCGCUUUCGACAAGGACGCGGUAGUGGCAGAAGAAGCACCGGCUAACUACGUGCCAGCAGCCGCGGUAAUUC
rnacentral:rRNA from 1 species